rnacentral:rRNA from 1 species
UACGUAGGGGGCAAGCGUUGUCCGGAAUUAUUGGGCGUAAAGAGCGUGUAGGCGGCCAGAUAAGUCCGCUGUGAAAUCUCGAGGCUCAACUUCGAGCUGUCGGUGGAAACUAUCUGGCUAGAGUCCGGAAGAGGAGAAUGGAAUUCCUGGUGUAGCGGUGAAAUGCGCAGAUAUCAGGAAGAACACCAACGGCGAAGGCAGCGCGCUGGGACGGUACUGACGCUGAGACGCGAAAGCGUGGGGAGCGAACAGG